UAUAUUUAAAUAACUACGUAGACCUCAACUUUUAUUCGUUUUGUUUUAGCAAAGACCUCGGUAAGACGUGACUUCUAUGCCAAUGUCGCCAAAGGGAACUAUUGCGGAAAUGUGAGAAACAGUGGUUUUACUUCAGAUUGAAAAUACUUCAAUGUUUCUCUUUUUUUCUUCCAAGAGAGCUACGGAAGUAAGAGAGAAGAGAAAAAUAGCGUCCCAAGUGCCGAAAUCGAAAGGAGAAGAGAGAAUGAGU